GUUGACGAUGCAAUCAGCAUGCUGAUUAAGGUUGCUUGGUUUUUUACUAAACAUUAACUGAAUGAAAACGGGUAGUCCUUGUUCUGCUUGGGGGGCUUUAAGGAAGCAAAUGGACUUUCAGAACAGAGAUUGUCAAUAAAGGGGAGGGGAGGAAGAGAAGAGGUGAGCAGAUGGUCAAGCAGACUCAUCAGUCAGCUGGGUGUGAUGAUCUAUUGUUGUUGUCCAGUUAUGAUCUGUACUGAAUAUGGAAAGAGGUGAAACAGAGAAUACUCUUCUUGAGCUCUGGAUGUAUCCUCAUGACACAGACCACACUGGACACCAACUCAAAUAUUGGGAGAAGGUUUCACGACCACUGAGUGCAGACGUGCUGAUCACUGGGCCCCCUGAUACACAGCGGCUAAGCUCUCCUCUCAAGCUGGUGGGGCUGGCGCUGCCUUGAAGCGCUGAGAGAUGCCAUGCCAAUUCAUGGCAAGGUCUUUAUUGUUAGAACUCCUGCAUCAUGACAUCUUUAUUCAUGUGAAAAUACAGGAUGAAUUUCAACUAUAUGAUAUUGUUUAUGUUCAUCAGAAAUGUUAUUUGUCUUUACAAAGUCUGGUUUCAAUGAACCGACUAUGUAAUGGAUAUUAAAUAAACAUGGAAUUUUACAUGUUCAUAAUAUUUGGUUUCUUGUUGUGAUUUUGAUGAACUAUACUUUCAAACACUGUCAGUUCAUCCUUAUUUACAAACGAAACAUUUGCUUGUAGUGGAGUGAUAUAGUAACUUGCUUUAAGUCAAGUUUUCUAUUCAAUGUUUAAUGUGAAAUUGAUUCAAAAUGUUCUUUUAGGCCACAUUUACAUUUCCCUCUGUAUAACAUGUAUUAUACUAUUUUAACAAUGUUGUGAGCUAUAUAAACUAAAGACAUUCUAAUUCUGUUUUUAAUGUAUUCUUCCAAGAUAAAUAAUUUAUAAUGCACUAAUAAAAGUAAGGAUCUCAUGUUAAAAGAAUUGUAUGACCUACUGAGAUUGAUCUAUGGAAACUGAUUCUCUUAAAAAUAAUUUCAUGAAAUUAUUUUGUACAAAUUUGACUUUAUUAUAUGAAUUCUUGAC
rnacentral:lncRNA from 1 species